ACCCGUGAACAGCAACAACGAAUUUCAGUAGCGUACCAAUCUGUUCUGCAAUUUCCAGCUCUGAUUUCUUCCUCUCAACGACUCUCGACGUUGGCCCACACCCGUCUGAAGUCCGAUUUGAGUAACCCACAUCCUUCGACAUUGAUUUGGAGUUGACCCACCUCCUUUUCAGACUCAAAUCGGCAUUACUCAUCGCUUUUCAUCAUCGGGCCAGCAAGCAUAAGGUCAUUCAAGCUUGGUUUUGGGCGCUGGAACAUCCUCGACGUCGACCCACUCCUAACCCAAGAGGUUUUAGGGGGAGUUAGUAGGAACCCUUCAGCAAAGUUUAGGAUCGUUAGGACCUUGUACUUUGUAGGUAACAGGGUUACUCUUUGGAAUGGUGGUGGCGAGUAGGAGGCUUGACCGGAAAGACCAUUAACUGUGCUGCGUGCAUUUAAUUUAUUUUAGUUAGGAUAGUUGCAGUUAUUUAAUCUUGUAGUUGAGUUGUUAGUGGUUCGUUUUGUUUAGUUUUAUGGUUUAAAGGAUGUUUUAAGGUUUUCAAUUCAUUAUUCUUUUUAGAACAGUAAUUUUGUUAGCUUUUUGAACUAUGGGACUGUAACCUACUUAAGAUACUUAUGAAUACAUUUGUUUAAGUUGAU